UACAGAGGUCCCAAGCGUUGUUCGGAUUUACUGGGCGUAAAGGGUGCGUAGGCGGUCAGGUAAGUCUGAUGUGAAAUCUCUGGGCUUAACCCAGAAAUGGCAUUGGAUACUAUUUGGCUUGAGAGUUGGAGGGGGGACUGGAAUUCUUGGUGUAGCAGUGAAAUGCGUAGAUAUCAAGAGGAACACCAGUGGCGAAGGCGAGUCCCUGGACAACUUCUGACGCUGAGGCACGAAAGCUAGGGGAGCAAACAGG
rnacentral:rRNA from 1 species